AUGCACGCUGGCGGCGUGCCUAAUACAUGCCAGUCGAGCGAACGGACGAGAAGCUUGCUUCUCUGAUGUUAGCGGCGGACGGGUGAGUAACACGUGGAUAACCUACCUAUAAGACUGGGAUAACUUCGGGAAACCGGAGCUAAUACCGGAUAAUAUUUUGAACCGCAUGGUUCAAAAGUGAAAGACGGUCUUGCUGUCACUUAUAGAUGGAUCCGCGCUGCAUUAGCUAGUUGGUAAGGUAACGGCUUACCAAGGCAACGAUGCAUAGCCGACCUGAGAGGGUGAUCGGCCACACUGGAACUGAGACACGGUCCAGACUCCUACGGGAGGCAGCAGUAGGGAAUCUUCCGCAAAGGGCGAAAGCCUGACGGAGCAACGCCGCGUGAGUGAUGAAGGUCUUCGGAUCGUAAAACUCUGUUAUUAGGGAAGAACAUAUAUGUAAGUAACUGUGCACAUCUUGACGGUACCUAAUCAGAAAGCCACGGCUAACUACGUG
rnacentral:rRNA from 1 species